UUCGAUCGAGUUGGGAAUUAGCGGAGGACGAGGCAGCAUCGAAGAAGAAACGUCGGAAUUAGCCACCAACAUCGUCGUCAAGGAUUAUCAAAAUUCCGGUGAAGAACAGGUGGACUAGAAGAAGAUCGGCGGCGAAUUAGGGAGGAAAGUGAGAAGAAGGAGAAGGAGACAAGGAGAUGAUUUAAAUUGGGAGGGAAAAUCGAAUCGCCAUGUUUUAGGGUUUUUAAUCUCUCUGCAAAGGGCUAAUUGAAUUUGUAAGGUGUAAAACUGUUAAAGUGUGGUUUGUGAUAGAUACAGAUUUGCUUCUUCCA